rnacentral:rRNA from 1 species
AACGAACGCUGGCGGCAGGCCUAGCACAUGCAAGUCGAGCGAACCCUUCGGGGUUAGCGGCGGACGGGUGAGUAACGCGUGGGAAUGUGCCCUUCUCUACGGAAUAGUCCUGGGAAACUGGGGGUAAUACCGUAUACGCCCUUUGGGGGAAAGAUUUAUCGGAGAAGGAUCAGCCCGCGUUGGAUUAGGUAGUUGGUGGGGUAAUGGCCUACCAAGCCUACGAUCCAUAGCUGGUUUGAGAGGAUGAUCAGCCACACUGGGACUGAGACACGGCCCAGACUCCUACGGGAGGCAGCAGUGGGGAAUCUUAGACAAUGGGGGAAACCCUGAUCUAGCCAUGCCGCGUGAUCGAUGAAGGCCUUAGGGUUGUAAAGAUCUUUCAGUGGGGAAGAUAAUGACUGUACCCACAGAAGAAGCCCCGGCUAACUCCGUGCCAGCCGCCGCCGUAAUAC